UCUCACCGACUCACUUCCGUCAAAUCUUUCUCUCGCAGACGAACCCAGCUCGACUUAUCUUCCACCUCUUCCUUCGCCGAAGCAACUAAAAACCAAAAACCUACUUGCGGCUUCUUCCUCCCGAUUUCGGAGCUUCUCUCUCUUCCACUCUCUCUCUCUCUCUCUCUCUCUCUCUCUCUCUUCCUCCCGAUUUCGGAGCUUCUCUCUCUUCCACACACACACACUCUCUCUCUCCCCUCCAUUGAAGCACCUCCAUACACAGGUAUCGUUUCUCCCGUAAUUAUAUAUUUAAUUAUUUGAAAGUUAGUUCUUCUGUGUAAAAUUCUUGAGCUUUUGCUUACCUGCAAUUUUCAAUUUUCUACGAUAUAGGGUUUUUGGAUGAUUUCAUGAUUUAGCGAUCCGCGCAUUUUCCAUAACCCUCUUUACGGAAAGUAAGCAAUUUAUCCUGCUUUAGAUUUUGCCAAAGAAAUUUAUAAUCUGGUGAUUUUCUAGGGAUCCAGGGAUGGAAAAAGCUGAGAAAGCAGGGAAGAAGGUUGGAAAAGCAGGGCUCUUUCAUUUGCUUCCAGAAUUUCGUCCCCUUAUCGCAGUGUAGCUCUUGCUGCAAUCUUCGUUUUCAGCCCUAUUUCGGGAACCUGUUCUUGGCAAAAACGACAUCGUCGUAGAAGCAGCUUGAAGCUCCACCAGGUUUCGAG
rnacentral:lncRNA from 1 species